UUUCAUAGGCUCUAGGCAUUCUAACUCUUAGAGGUCCUGUUUCACAUCACAUUAAAUAUAUUUAAACCACAUGCCACAUUUAAUAGAAAUUUUUGGGGAAGGGAGGAGCCAAAAAGGAUUUGGCAUUAAAGCAUUCUUCUGAGAAGGUGUCCAUAGAGUUUACUAGACUGCCAAAGGGAUCACUGUUACAAACAAAGGAAGGCUGGACUAGAGCUGAGGUCUGGCUGGAAGCUUGAGAUGAUGUUGAGAUGGCAGAGCCACAAGAAAAAAACAGGACAGCUGUUCUGGAGAAUUCCUCCAACUAGUUGCAAGAGCAGAAAAUAAACUUUUGCUGUGUUCAGCUACCAAGAC